UACGGAAGGUGCAAGCGUUGCUCGGAAUCACUGGGCGUAAAGCGAGUGUAGGCGGUCUGCUAAGUCGGGUGUGAAAGCCCUGGGCUCAACCCAGGAAGUGCACUCGAAACUGGCGGGCUAGAGUAUCGGAGAGGUUGGUGGAAUUCUCGGUGUAGAGGUGAAAUUCGUAGAUAUCGAGAGGAACACCGGUGGCGAAGGCGGCCAACUGGACGAAUACUGACGCUGAGACUCGAAAGCGUGGGGAGCAAACAGG
rnacentral:rRNA from 1 species